rnacentral:lncRNA from 1 species
AGGCGGGUGGCGCGCGGCAGCAGGGUUGGGCUCUCGCCGUGAGUCGACGAAGGGAGCGCGGGCGCGCGCCCGCGUCCGCGCACUGAGAGUCGCCUCGGCCGCUCGCUUUCUCGACUCCCGCCUCGCGCCUCGAUCCUGUUCCGCCUCCCUCGGCCCUCCUGCCCGCCCCCACUCGUCGGCCCUCAGCUCAGAGACCUAAUAGGAUGGGGUCUUAGAGAAACAUCUUUUGAGCCACAGACUUCUUUGUUACCAGAAGGAAAAUGAAAGAAGAAAUUUAAAUACCACUUGAAGAGAGAUUUCUUAGAAAUUACAUCAGAGGAGCAUGCUUGGUCUUCCCACCCUCAUUAGGCCUCAGUGACAGGUACUUGAACAACUGAGCCCCUAAUGUGCAUGCUCCCCCACCCCUGAAGCCAGUCUCUGCCCUCCUCUUCCCUCCUCUUGCCCCUGGAAGCUGAUCGCCACCAACUGGCCUCUGGGUGGAUUUGGCCAAUGGAAGCACCUGUAGAGGGAAGAGAGUGAGGUUAGGAUAUUUCUUCCUGCUGUCUCCGUGCUUCCCUGCAGAGAGUGUGAAGAAAUGACCCUGAAAAGCCUCUGGCAGAGGAUUCUUCUUUCAGGAUGGUGUCGCCUCCUCAGCAGCCCAUCCUCCUCCCCUGGACUCAAGCUCUCAUUCCAGUAACACUCCUUCCUCCUUCUCCAUCUUCAGGGGGAGGUUUGCCAGUCGGUGGGUUCUAAGCAUAUCUCGCUGAUUCCCCCCAACCCUGCCGACACCUCUGUAGGUCGUCCCUUCAUUAAAAUCUCUCCAUUUGAACUAUCUGAGUUUAAUUCCAUUUCCUCCUGGUAUCUCAGUGAUACACGGUAUCAGUACAAAAAUCUCGCUUCACCUUCAGAACCAACAGAUUUGAGACAUUUUAUCCUCUGUGGAACCAUUAGUUAUUUUGUCAUUGGUUGUAUCAGAAAAAAAAAUCAGGAAUGCAAAUCCUUCUUUAUUACAGAUUCAGAUUUGCAUAUUACCAAUGUUAUAUAUUUUAAACAAAACUAUUCAUCAUAAGUUUUAAAAAUUAACUACUGGAGUAGUUAAUGAAUCUGAAUGUAAUUAUGUAGCUUUCAUAAUAUUAAAGUAAAAAUACUAAAAGAAGUAUUUCUUAAAGAAGCAAAUGCUCAAUCUCCAAGUAAAUUUUAUUCUAUGCUCUUCCGGUAUAAGAAUAUGUUAAUAUCUUGAAAAAUAUCAUAUUAUUUUGUGAACUCAUAAAGCUAUUUUGAGUUUUUGUAAAAUGAAAACCUUACCAAAAUGUAUUUUAUUGUUGGAAAGCUUGACCGUUACUGCUGUUUAAUUUUUUGAGCUUGUAAACUUUAUUUGUGCAUGUUUUCAACAAAGAAGGAUUUUAUUGUUAUUACAUAAAACAGGUGAUUUCUAGAUUUUAAAAUCACAAAUUGAAAGCAAGGCACAAUAAUAUAUAUUUCAAGAUAUAGGUACUUAGGAGGCAUCCUUUUAGUCAUCUGUUCAAUGUAGCCAUCUAUUUUACACCUACUGUCUACUAUUGUUUGAGGUCCUUGCCAAAGUAUUGCAGGCUAGUUAGGAAACAUAAAACAAUUAGAAAGUAAUCUAUGACAAGUAAGCUAUCUAUAAAUGGCAAUGAAGGGUAGAACAAAUUCAAUGAAAAUAUCUAUUUAAUCCUAGUGUUUACUGGUCUAGAAGAAUAGGCUGAGUAAAUUAGUAUUUCUCUGGCUGUUGUGGUAACACAUUGCAUGCUAUAACAGUUUUAAGUAAUUACAGGUGCAUUGAAAUUUAUCUAUGGCUUUGUCAUCAUAUUCUAAAAUGUCAUGAGUACUUUUUUCUGACCUCAAUUACUAUGAAAUUGGUUUCCAAUAUUUAAUUAACCAAGAAUAUCAAGUCUAUAGGGUAUUAUUAAGGUGAGACUUCUGUAGCCUUUUCAAUAAAGACCAGAAUUUUGGAGUGCCUUGAACCUUAAUCAUUGAUCUUUAAUUCUUAUUAAGUCAACUGCCCACCUUUUAAAGACUGAGGCCCAGGAAGAGUAAGUUUCUCUGAGACAAUGCAUACAGUACAGUGCUUCUUGGGUAUUGGCUCUAAGACCAGAUGCAAAGAAAGGCUAAAAUCCCAUUUCAUUGUUCAUUAGGUGAGAACCCUUUGUUAAGCUGUGUAACCUCUGUGCAUAGUUUCCUCAUCAGCAAAGUCAGAAAAAGUAUGUACCUGAAGGACUGAUUGUAAGGCUGGGAUGAGAGAAUCCAUGUGAUCAGCCCUCACCAACAGGUGCUGCCCAGUUCAUGAGUGCUGCUGCUGUCCUGCCCAAGUACCCAGCUUGCAGAGUGCCAGAGUUAGAGUCCCAGGGGUGUUCUCCACAGCUGCAUGCUUGAUCCAGGCCUAUCAGGUGUUAUUUGUUGACGGAACCAGGCAUCAUCAGCAAACAAAACUGACAAAGCUUCCUGCCCUCUGUGGAAGGCAUCUGAGGAAGAGACUGGAUUUUGUAGCAACAUGUUAUUCUCAUUAUAAACUUUAUCAUUGGAAUACUAAAGCCAAAUCAUCCCCCAUCUCCUUGAUCAGGAUACCCACUUAAUCUAGGCAGCUACACAAUUGUGAGAGCCUUUGUUUUUUUCUGCUGAAACAUCCUUAAAAAGAUACCUCACAACCCAAGAUUUGGCUUUUCUUAAAUACGAUUUUUAAUUUUUUUCAUUUCUAUCUAGAGAUUUAAUUGGAAAUGGAAAAUCAUCAAUUUUCCAAUUAAAUGUCUGUUCCAAUCAACAUUAUACCUUUUAGGUUGUCAUUGUCAUUUUUAAGUUUAAGCAACUUUAAGGAUUUUGAAUCUGGCUGCCUGUAAAUUAAAGGUGAAAGUAAUCAUUGUGUUGGAUUGGAACAUUUUGUCAAUUGAGAGUGGUUUCCUUGUUCUUAGUGUAUGAAAAGUUUAUUUUUCUAAUGUAGAUUAAUAAAGGAGAUAAAGAAAAACAAAAUGAGUGAUUUAUGUG